UAAAGGUUAGUGGAGACCACACAUAAAUUUGAAUUAUGAAAAGGAACUAGUUUAUUCCACCUUUAC
rnacentral:tRNA from 1 species